AGACCUAGGAGAAAGAUCCAGAAAAUUAAAACACGUCUAAAAAUUUCAGAAAACUACUGUUCCAUUGGACUCCUUCUCUGAUUUUUCUUUAAUUUGCUGAAGCCAUUUCUGAUUCAUCUGGUGUUGAGAUGGAUUGAAUUUAGCUGUUUUAAGUUUGGACUGAAACUGGCUGAGUUACUAUUCGAUUGAAGCUGUUUUGUGGACUGGCUGAGCAUCGUUUUGGUUUAAAACUGAUUCACUAUUUGCUUCCUGCUGUUGAUUUUUGCUAUUGCUGCUAAUCCUUAAUCCCAGUUUCCUUCCAUCUUCAGGUACAUAUCCCUGAUUUAAGCAUGUAAAGGAUAGCUUAUAAAGUGUUUUGUUGAAAGGAGAUGAAGAUUAUGUUAUCAGAUGCUCUUCUUCUUUAGUUUCUUUUCUCAACUUGUAGUGUCAAUUUCUUAUCUCAACUUGUUUAACGUGAAGUUGUGCUUGAGGACUUUGAGUCUUAUGAUGGAAUUGUAACAGGGCUACUGCGAGAAUUAUUGAUUUCCAUUUGUUCGGUUCUCUAGGUUUUGUUAUUGAUAGAAGUGUCAGUUGAUUUUAGAUGCAUGAUGUGUUUGUGAGUUCAAAUUACAAGAAUAUGCUGUUAAUUGUUAAACUGCUAUAGCUAAAUUGAGCACGCAUACAAAGUGAGAAUGGGGAGAUGGAUCAUGUUAAAGUGCAGCAGGUUUGCUGCUGGUAUGGACUUGAAUUCGAGUCUGACUCCCUGAUUUGGGCCUGGGCAGUAUCUGGGCUCUUAAGUCUGGAUUGGGUUUAGCUUUUUCAAAUUCAUUUGUGCACCAACCUAGGAUUUGAUUUACUGAUUUUAGGGGUACCUUAGUUUAGUGUUGUCCAUAUUCACACGUAAGUUCUCAGAUGUUUUAAAAGGGUUGUAAGCAGGACUUGAGUUGAAAACCAGACUUGAAAAUUUAUGAGUUUGGUUUUAAUACUUGCAUUCGUUUUUUUGAAAGCUUUAGGUCGUGUAGUCUUGUUAAAUGGUGGGCAGCUUAUAUACAUAUUUUAAUAACAUGAUUGAAAUGUUUAAAGCAUGUCUUGACCUUUGAAUGUAAUUUGGUAUUUUUUUAAAAGUCAGAAGCUGUAUGAACGAAUCCCUGUUGUGAUCCGGCAUCAAUGUGGUUCUCCCCAGGACCGGGCAUGCCUAUCUUUUCGUUGGUGUGAAAUUUCUUUGCAACUAGGCAUUGAGCCUCAAGCCAUGCCCAAGCCUUGAGAAAAUGAG
rnacentral:lncRNA from 1 species